GUUUGCUUCAGUGGCACAUGCUAAAAAUGGAACAAUACAGAAGAUUAGCAUGGCCUCUGAGCAAAGACAACAUGCAAAUUAGUGUGAAGCAUUCCAAAUUUUU
ensembl:snRNA U6 U6 spliceosomal RNA